UACGUAGGUGGCGAGCGUUGUCCGGAAUUACUGGGUGUAAAGGGAGCGUAGGCGGGGGUUUAAGUUGGAUGUGAAAUACCGCAGCUCAACUGCGGGGCUGCAUCCAAAACUGGACUUCUUGAGUGAAGUAGAGGCAAGCGGAAUUCCUAGUGUAGCGGUGAAAUGCGUAGAUAUUAGGAGGAACACCAGUGGCGAAGGCGGCUUGCUGGGCUUUUACUGACGCUGAGGCUCGAAAGCGUGGGGAGCAAACAGGAUUAGAUACC
rnacentral:rRNA from 1 species